AGUUGGUAGGGAAUGCAAUGAAUGGAAUCAUUUAAUGUGGCUUAUUUUAUGAUGCUACUUUUCAAGAUAGAUCAGUUGGUAGGGAAUGCAAUGACUCUCAGGCUACUCAUAUCCAUAUGGAAAAUGUAAAAGCAUGGAGAAGAAUCAAAACCCAUCUGCCGAAGAUACCAGUACCAAUCCGGACCUGUCAAGGUUGAGUUGCGGCUUUCUAAUUGUAGCGGCACAGAUUCAGAAUCUACAAACAAGCAGACAAAUGGUGGAAUGGAGGCAUUAAUUGUUGUCCAGUCUCCUAAAUGCGUGUUUCAAGUUAUCAUCAUGAGAAAAGAAUUUUGUUCACCAAUAAAGUUCAGUACUAAAGAUUUUUCUUUUGGGUUUUUGUUCUGCUUUCCAUUAUUUUCAGUAAUCUUGACUUGCUGUGAGUACUACAAUUGCAGUUACAGUAUGUAAUAAAGCAGGAAAUACAUCGUUUUUAACUUUUUUUUAAGUAUUUCUGUGUU